AAUGGAAAAACAAGAGUAGGAGAGAAAUACUGCAGUAGGAUUAAAAUAGGAACGAUCUUUUUGAGUUCUAGGGUUGAAUAUACCCAAAGAAACUAUAUGUUCUUUUCAAAAUACAAAAGCUGACUUACAGGACUCCAAAAACCUAGAUAGGUAAUAACAAACCCUAAUAAAAAGAAACCAUUGAAAUCAAAAGGAACAAACAGUAAAAUAGUAACAAAUGCAGUAUUUCUUAAUGCAGACUCUCAACUUCAGAAAUUCAUAACUUAAUGUACAAAAAUCAUUUUCAAGAGAUUUCAAUUCUGAAAUGAUCGUGCAGAUGUCUACUAAAACUUUUGUGACAACACUAACUGCAAAUACCGAUCAAAAAUUUACGGGUUUUAAUAGAAAGGUUACUUGGUCCAAAACUUGGAAAACUGAUUUGCAGAAAUUUUCCUGAUGCAGAACUUCAACUUUGAAAAUUCUUAACUUAAUCUACAAAAAUCCUUUUCAAGAGAUUUCAACUCAGAAAUGAUAUUUAAGAUGUACUCUAACUUUUAUGAAGACACCAACUUCAAAUACUCAACUGAAAUGCACUGAUUUCAGUAAAAAGGCAGUUGGGUCGAAAACUCAGAAAUACUGAUCUGCAGAAUUUCCUACUGCAGACCCUCAACUUUGAAAAAUCAUAUUUUAAUCUACAAAAAUCAUUUUCAAGUGAUUCAAAAUCUGGAAUAAUAUCUAGGAUGUCUGCUACAAGUUUUACGAAGAAACCAACUUCAAAUAACCAACCUAAAUGUACAGCUUUUAGUAAAAAGUUGACUGGCU
rnacentral:lncRNA from 1 species